UACGUAGGUGGCAAGCGUUGUCCGGAUUUACUGGGCGUAAAGGGCUCGUAGGCGGUUUGUCACGUCGGGAGUGAAAACUCGGGGCUUAACCCCGAGCCUGCUUCCGAUACGGGCAGACUAGAGGUAUGCAGGGGAGAACGGAAUUCCUGGUGUAGCGGUGAAAUGCGCAGAUAUCAGGAGGAACACCGGUGGCGAAGGCGGUUCUCUGGGCAUUACCUGACGCUGAGGAGCGAAAGUGUGGGGAGCGAACAGG
rnacentral:rRNA from 1 species